rnacentral:tRNA from 1 species
GGAUUGUGGCUCAGUGGUAGAGCACUCAUGUACCAUGCGCAAGGCCUUGGGUUCGAUCCUCAGCACCA